UGCAACAAUAUGAAUGGUAACAAUAACAAAC
rnacentral:sRNA from 1 species